UUUUUAUACACACACACACACACACACACACACACACAUAUAUAUAUAUAUAUAUAUAUAUAUAUAUAUAUAUAUAUAUAUAUAUAUAUUUUUACUGUAUUUGUGAUUAAAUAAAUGCAGGCUUAGUGAUCAAAAACAGUGGUAGUGUACAAAGCAAAUAAUAAUAAUACAGAAAAUGUUACUAUAAUUUCCCUUUUAGUAACAUUGUAGACAAGAUGGACGUGAAGUGUAAAGUUGGAAGUUUUCAUUGUGUAAUUUUUACUAUAAUUUUUUUUUUAAGUGUCACAACAGUGUGAUGAUGUUGUUGUAGCCUUGCGUUACACUCUUUACUGGAGAGAGAACGGCUUUUCUGCCAUUAAUGUGACACGUACCACUGCUAACAUCACUAUACCUAGUGAGUCUUUCCUAGUGACUCUCACAAUAUGACACACCUCUUCACUGCACCAGUUUCUUAUGCACACCUCUCUUUCUUUCUAUCACUUUCUCUGUCCUUCAGUAUCUUUGACCAGAAGAUAUUCUGCAGUGUUUGUGAAUAGAAAUGAAUCAUCGCAGUCAAACUCUGGCAAUCCAGGUUAAAGGAACUCCCAUGAUACAUCAGUUUCAGAUGCUCAUGAACAUUUUAUUGGGUCAGAAAAUGAUUUAUCAUGCAUUACUCUUUUUUUUGUAGUACAGGUUACCAGGUGAAGAGCCCAGUGAUUGGUGGUAUUUAGGACUCUGAUACAGGAGAUAUACAGAGGGCCCAGAUCAAUCUCUGCCAGCCAGGUAGUGUAGCAUAUUCAUAUUUAUCCACACAAAACUACAAAAAACAUUAGUUUAAUCCUGUGCUGUCACUGUGUCCUCUGCAGGUGGAGAUGGCCUGUGCUCUUCUUCUGAACUGAGACCAGCUCCACAUCAUGCAGUAUGCUUCCUGUGAGUUUGCUGAAUGUGACGCAGUGCAGCCAGUUGAGAGAAACAGUGCGUGGCUUUUAGCUGGGUUAGUGCCUGCUACACUUGUCUCCACAACAGAAAAAAACAAACUUUUCCAACUUAUCAGACUGGGUCAACAUUACAACUUCAGCGCAGAACUCCAGUCAGCCAGCAGAGGGCAGCAAUGGAGAGUGUUCAGCUGUUCCCACCCACCUCCACAUCCACGUGUGGAGGGGCAUCAUGGGAAGUGUGCAGGGUGUGCCUCAGAUGGUUAUCCAGGCAGUGGAGAUUAGGCACCGGACCGCUUUAUUCAGCAUUGUAUUGUUCUUAUCGUCUCACUUUCCUGAUAGCAAACAUGAUAGCUUUUCAUUAAUGACUGAGCUUGAUAUGUCUAGAUUGCAUAUACAGUUUUGAUACUCUGAGGGCAUUUUGUUUUGCAUUCAUUCUUUUUCCAAUUUUCAGUUUCAUAGUAACAACAUGGAGGGUAGAGUGUGGUAUGGGCAGGGUGAACCCAUGUUUAAACCCAGAGCUAAUGCAAAAUUUCCCUGUAAGCUAGUCUGUGACCUUUACUGACAAUCCUAUUAUUACACAACCCCCUAGAUCCAGGUGGGUCCUAAACACACACAUAUAACUGAGAUUACUGAACAGAUGCAGUUGCAUUUAAUUUCAACAGUUUUUUCCCCCUGAUAAAACUACAAUAAAAAUAAUAUAUUUAUUUAAAAAAUAUUAUAUUGCAAAUAUUUUCAAUAUUGUCAUACACAUUUUAGAAAUAGUUAUUUCUAUUGGUUUCAAUCUGUGGCUUGCAAAUACGGCAUUAUUUCACAAAUCCACCUCCAGUCUCCUGCAGUGUGACAGCUAGACCGCAUCUAAAACUAUUGUAAACAACAUUUUUGUCAUUCUUGUGUGUGCAGUUGUUAUGACUUCAUAUUUCGGGACAACACAAAAUAUUAGUGCUUUUCAAAUGUAAUUAUUCACACCGCAGAACUCUUUAGGUGAGCUGCAGGUAGGUAGUUUAAAAAUGGGAUAUAUCACAGCACCUAAACAUACAGUUUCCCUUUUACAAAAAUGUAUACAUGUUGAUUCAGUCUUAAAGUAUGAAUUCAUUUUUUUUUUUUGCAGGUGAGCCGUAUUCCCAGGCGCUGGUAAAAGGUCUCAUUCUAGUGUUCUUCUUCAUUGCUGCGUCUGUUUCAGGAACACCAUGGAAACAAAUCAGACAGGCAUGGAGUAGUGCUUCACUAUGAAAGAAAGCAAGGGAUAGAAGAAGAAAAUGAUUUAUCAAACAGAAUUUGAUAUUCAAGUGUAAAUAGAUGUUAUUUAUUUUCCUUUUAUGUUUUGUAAAAAAAAAAAUUAUGAAUCAUUAUGUUUUGAGAACUUUUGU
ensembl:lncRNA